UGAACACAUAUUAAACCAGAGUCACUUGCCUUGUAACUGAGCCCUCAUAUGACCAAUUUUAAAAGUCUUUUUAUGCAUGAUUUUCAGACCUCAGGGAUUUGUCUUCUAUCUUCUGCUUGUGGGAAGCGCUGCACCAGAACAUUGCUGUGGGUCUGUUCAGCCUGAAGGGCCACAGGCCGAGGAGACAGGCCAACUCUAGCCCCGGCAAGCAUGUCAGAGAAGCCGACUUGGCCUCCAGCACAGCACCCUGGGCCAGGAGCACAUUCUGGGUGUUGAGUUGCCACAGACCUCCACGUUGAAGCUCAUGUAAUUGGAACAUGCCCAGAUGAACCAUGUAUGAAACCAUGGGCAGAACCUAAGUGCUAAGAUGGAGGCGCAAGAACUGAAUUAAGAAGGAGACACUGAAUGACAGGAUUCAGGAUCCAAUCAUAUGGAGCCCUGGUAUCAUCUCAUUAUAAGAUCCAAUCAGAUCACAUCUCAUUAUGCUAUGCUUGUAAUACCAGUCCCAGCUCCCAGCUCAGGGAGACAGAUUUGAGCAUUUCCUCCUGUCCGCUGCCAGUUGACUUGCAAUAAAGCUUUUCUUUGCUCAAAAGCUGAUGCCAUGGUAUUGGCUUCACGUCAGGCAGCUGUCAGCUCAUUGGUUGCUCAGUAACGAGUACAUCCUUUCGAACUCAAGGCCCAGCAAGCCUGGUGCUUUAACCAUGUUUCUGUUUUUUUCUGUUCCUGGUCCGUGGGGAUGUUUUGUGUCUUUUAAAUUUUUUAAAUUAGAUUUCACUUUUUCUGUCAUCGUUGUGUUUGAAUAGAGGUGGGGUGGAGAGAAUGCACACCAUAAAUUUACAGCACCAUUUUAGCUGACAGUCCUUCUACAUGACUCAUAAAGUCAGGAAAAAAAAAUCAAUGAAAUCAAUGCUAUACCACCUCUACCUCUCAACUCUGUACUCUUUGCCCCCUUUUUAGUGCACACCAUUCCCCUCUUACCUGACUCCUGUGUCUCUCCACUGAUCUCUGUCACCAACUGGGAAGAAAUUGGGUGGCCUUAUUUGCUUAUACUAAAAAGUCAGGGAGUGUAGCAGACAGAAUAAUGCCUUUCCCGAAUGUCCAUGUCUUAAUUCCUAGAACUUGUGAACACACUACCUUAUAGGUAGAAGGGACUUCACAGGUAUGAUUUAUUGAAGGAUUUUGAGUUGGGAAAAUUAUCCUGGAUUAUCUGGGUGGGCCUGAUGUAAUCACAUGAUCCUCAUAAGAAG
rnacentral:lncRNA from 10 species